rnacentral:misc_RNA from 1 species
GAUGAAGAACGUAGCGAAAUGCGAUAAGUAAUGUGAAUUGCAGAAUUCAGUGAAUCAUCGAAUCUUUGAACGCACAUUGCGCCCGCCAGUAUUCUGGCGGGCAUGCCUGUUCGAGCGUCAUUUCAACCAUCAAGCCCCGGGCUUGUGUUGGGGACCUGCGGCUGCCGCAGGCCCUGAAAAGCAGUGGCGGGCUCGCUGUCACACCGAGCGUAGUAGAUUUUAUCUCGCUCAGGGCGUGCUGCGGGUUCCGGCCGUUAAACCACCUUCAUAACCCAAGGUUGACCUCGGAUCAGGUAGGAAGACCCGCUGAACUUAAGCAUAUCAAUAAGCGGAGGA